AGUGAACGCUGGCGGUAGGCCUAACACAAGCAAGUCGAACGGCAGCACAGAGGAGCUUGCUCCUUGGGUGGCGAGUGGCGGACGGGUGAGGAAUACAUCGGAAUCUACUCUGUCGUGGGGGAUAACGUAGGGAAACUUACGCUAAUACCGCAUACGACCUACGGGUGAAAGCAGGGGAUCUUCGGACCUUGCGCGAUUGAAUGAGCGGAUGUCGGAUUAGCUAGUUGGCGGGGUAAAGGCCCACCAAGGCGACGAUCCGUAGCUGGUCUGAGAGGAUGAUCAGCCACACUGGAACUGAGACACGGUCCAGACUCCUACGGGGGCAGCAGUGGGGAAUAUUGGACAAUGGGCGCAAGCCUGAUCCAGCCAUACCGCGUGGGUGAAGAAGGCCUUCGGGUUGUAAAGCCCUUUUGUUGGGAAAGAAAUCCAUCUGGUUAAUACCCGGGUGGGAUGACGGUACCCAAAGAAUAAGCACCGGCUAACUUCGUGCCAGCAGCCGCGGUAA
rnacentral:rRNA from 1 species